rnacentral:rRNA from 1 species
UACGUAGGGGGCGAGCGUUGUCCGGAUUUAUUGGGCGUAAAAGGCUUGUAGGUGGCCACGUCAAGUCGGAUGUGAAAUCUCCCGGCUCAACUGGGAGGGGUCAUUCGAUACUGGCGGGCUCGAGGCCGGUAGGGGGAAGCGGAAUUCCCGGUGUAGUGGUGGAAUGCGUAGAUAUCGGGAGGAACACCAGUGGCGAAGGCGGCUCCUGGACCGGUUCUGACACUGAGGAGCGAAAGCGUGGGGAGCAAACGGG